rnacentral:lncRNA from 1 species
CGCCGGCUUCUUGGACGCGGCCUUUUUCUUUUUGCGGGCGGCCUCUUUCUCCUUCUUAUGCUUGUGGGCCGCGCAGGCGCUAUCGUCGUGUGAAAGCGUCGUCUUGGCCUCCACGAGGUUGAGCUUGCAUCGGGGGCACAGGUGUUCCUCCUGGGCCUUGGCCUUGGCCUUCUUGGCCCUGCCCAUCUGGUAAUACGAAUCCGAUCGUUAAUUAAAAUCUAAUCCACCAUGAAACAAUACAAGGUAGCAAUUGUAGAUGCGGAUUUGGCCAGAAAUUGAAACAAAGCAAGC